rnacentral:tRNA from 1 species
GGGGAUUUAGCUCAGUGGUAGAGCACUUGCCUAGCAAGUACAAGGCCCUGGGUUCGGUUCCCAGCUCUG